CUGACGAUUCACUCAGGAUAGCUUGCACUCACUCGCAAGAACUGUUUAAUCCGGUUAAGCGAAUGAUUAGAGGUACUGCGUUCGAAACGAGCUCAACCUAUCCUCAAACUUGAAAUGGGUAAGAUGCCCGGCUCGAUUUAUAGGAGUCGGGCGCUGAAUGUGCGAGUGCCAAGUGGGUCAUUUUUGGUAAGCAGAAUUGGCGCUGAGGGAUGAACCAAACGCCCGGUUAAGAUGACUUACGCUAACGUUCAUGAGAUACCACAAAAGGUGUUGGUUAAUAAAGGCAGCAGGACGGUGGCCACGGAAGUCGGCAUCCGCUAAGGAGGGGGUAUCAACUCACCUGCUGAAUUGACCAGCCCCCUAUAAUGCGAAUUGUGGCCGUAGGCUUGCCUAUGGCCACGUCUGGCCGAGGGUCGG
rnacentral:ncRNA from 1 species